GGAUUUUAUACUCACCUAGAAGGUGCAGUUCAGUAAUGAUACCCUGGUCUGGAAGACAGCUAUGAAUGGGACUAAAGAGUUGGUAUUUGAGGGGAACCAGGAUACUGAAAAUCCAGUGUUGGCCCUAUUUAAUAAGUCGUCAACAGUGGCACGUUACGUCCACAUCAAUCCACAGACCUGGUACGAGAAUGGAACUAUCUGUCUUAGAGAUGAGGUUCUGGGCUGUACCCUCCCAGAUCCCAACAACAUCUACGCUUGGCAGCAGACGGAGCAAGGCACUUAGAACAUACUGGACUUCAGACACCACAACUACAAGGAGAUGAGGAAAGGAAGUCCUGAAGUGGAGACCUUCAACACUCACCGAUAGGCUACUGGUGUAGUUUGAGGGUUAUUUAGAUGGUGGCUGGAUGACUCUCUAUGUAGACAAACACUGAAUGAAGACUAGUUAAUCUUUUGCACAUAUAGUGCUGCAUUCAUAACCAAGUAGGAAUGUGGUAUUUACCACAUGCGACUGGGAAAAAUCCUCUUGAACGCCCUUCCAACUAGUAAUUACUAGUGGGAAACUCGUCUAUCGUCCCUGACCUCCGAUUUCUCCCACAUGUUGACCUCUGACGUCACCUACUAUGGAAAUGACCUCGAUAACAGCAUUUCUGGCAGUUAAAUGUAACAACAAAACAUUAUUUAUAAAAAGCAAUCUAUUCAUAUGUUUUUUUAACACUAUCAUUUGUUUACAAGCAUGUUAGCUGUACUUUUAGUUUAUGGUUGUCAAUUAACCAAUUGCCAUUGCUCAACGAGGUCAAAGCAUUUGAAUGCAUCCAAUUGGUAUUUACGACUUCAACUGUUAAUUACCACCUUCCCACUUGGUUAUGAACUCAGCAGAGGUCGCAUUCCCCUGCUCAACCAA